GUAAUCCUGUCAAAAGUAAUCCUUGAUGAAAUGAUGAAAAUAUUGUAAUAAUCAAAAUGAAAGAAUAUUGUUUGUUGGGCGAACAUAUUAUUUCUAAUGCUAUUACUCAUGAGGGUACAAUUCAUGAGACGAGCCUAGGGCCCAAAAGAUUAUUAUAUUUAGAGCAAUCAAAAAAUUAUCAAACAAAAAGCAUGUGUAGAUGUAAUCCCUGUAUUAGUAGAGGAAAUGUGAACUGGGCAACAUACAUUUCAAGAAUAAGCUGACAUAUUUAUAUUGAAGGGCUUUCUCUUCGUGAAAUUUCUAAAUUGGACAAGUAUCCACCAAAUGGUAAAUGGUUUCUUCAUUAUUGCAACGACUAUGACCAGUCCUGAAUCGAUUUGAAAUACAUCAAAUUUUCCUAGAUAGAUUGAAACCUAGAACUUUCUCUGAAGGAUCAAGGAUUAGACUUUCGAUGAAGACAUUAUAAGAACUCCAUUCUGAACGUCAAAUUUCCUUGUAACUUUCAUUAGAUUGUAGGAAGGUAUUAAUCUAUGAAAGUUUACGUGACCCUAAUCUGGUAGUUCUAGUAUCUGAGAGGUAAGAUACAAUUGGAAAUAAGUUCGGGUAGAAAUGAAAAUUUUCCAAAGAUUUCUCGCCUAAGACCUGUCUACGAGUAUGAGGCGGAAGUAUAUGUGGCAGCACUGUUAACCAAUGUAAAGGUGUAGAUCUAAGAGUUCCACUGAUAAUUCUCAGAGAAACAUUAAGCUGUGCAUCAAUUUCAUGAUUAUGAGGCAUGAGCACUAUUGAACCAAACAGAACAACAGUAUUCAGCAGCAGAAUAAACCAAGACCAAAGCUGCCGUACGAAAAGUGCUGGCAUCAACAUCUCAUGAAGAACAUAGUGUAAUACGAUAUACUGAGGUUGUGUACAACCUUCUUUAUAUUGAGACGUCUCCUUCAGAAAAAGAAGAUUAAAUCGAUUGAGUGCA